AAAAGCAGCAAAUUCGACAGCAUGUCGUUAUCGUUGUAAGAACGAAUAGUACUUCUUCCAACGACUGAAUGGCGUUGCGUUUGUUUAAGUUGUCUCUAACAGAAAUACGAGAUGGUCAACGUAUAUAGAAACUGGACUUUUUAAGAGUCCUUGGUAGUAGAAAAAAGCUUAAUUUGCUAUUUAGUGUUUUUUUUCUAUCGCUACCUUUUUUUUUUACAUUUUAAUGCUAGAGGAUGAGAAGGUGAAAUUGAUGUCCUGUUCUUGGAAAAUUUUGCUAUGAAACUAAAGCAACUACUAUCAAAAUGAUAUUGGAAUGUUCUUUUUUACCCCAACUUUUGUACCUGCAAGCAGAUGCCAAAGCUAUAAAAGAUUUAUUGUUUUCGCAUAAAAAUUAGGAGGAUUACUGUGUCAAAUUUUAUACAAGCAAUCAAUCUAUCUACAAAGUCA